rnacentral:rRNA from 1 species
GAAAUUUGGAUUAAUGCCCCAUAGUACUAUAAAGCUGCAUAGUUUAAUAGUUAAAACUUCGGUGGUAUAAGAUGGGCAUGCGUAUGAUUAGGUAGUUGGUGAGGUAACAGCUCACCAAGCCGACGAUCAUUAGGGGUUCUGAGAGGAUUAUCCCCCACACUGGUACUGAGACACGGACCAGACUCCUACGGGAGGCAGCAGUGAGGAAUAUUGGUCAAUGGACGAGAGUCUGAACCAGCCAUCCCGCGUGCAGGAUGACGGCCCUAUGGGUUGUAAACUGCUUUUCUACGCCAAGAAACACUCUUACGUGUAAGAGCUUGACGGUAGCGUAGGAAUAAGCAUCGGCUAACUCCGUGCCAGCAGCCGCGGUAAUACGGAGGAUGCAAGCGUUAUCCGGAUUCAUUGGGUUUAAAGGGUGCGCAGGCGGGCUUGUAGUCAGUGGUGAAAUCUUGCCGCUUAACGGUAAAAUUGCCAUUGAUACUGCGAGUCUUGAAUAUGGUUGAGGUAGGCGGAAUGUGUCGUGUAGCGGUGAAAUGCAUAGAUAUGACACA